rnacentral:tRNA from 1 species
GGGGGUGGAUGGGGCCUGGUGGCUUCCCCGGUCUUCAAAACCGCGUGGGGGGUGGGUCACACCCGCUCCCGGUGGGUUCGAUUCCCACACGCUCCCGCCA